rnacentral:rRNA from 1 species
GCUGGUUGCCUGCAAGACGAAUUUAAGUUCUCCCUUAACUCAUACCCACCGGGCAACUACCCCAACCCUUAUGUAACGAGCUAAGAGCUAUUUAAAGGGGGUACAGCCCCUUUAAAAAAGGACACAACCUCCACUAGCGGAUAACCCCCCCCCAUAAAUAAGUUGUGGGCCCUAAAGCAGCCACCCUUAAAGAGUGCGUCAAAGCUCUAAAAAGACAAAAAUCCAAUAAACAACGCGACUCCCUAUACCCCCAACAGGCCAACCUAUUCUUAUAGAUGAAUUAAUGCUAGAAUGAGUAACCAGGACAUCCCGUCCCCUCAAGCGCAAACUUGUAUUCACCAUUAACAGCACAGAAAUACUAACAUCCACAACACAAGCUCAAGUAUUACUUAUACCCUGUCAACCCAACUCAGGAGCGCACACUAGGAUGAUUAAAACCUGCAAAAGGAAUUCGGCAAAUCAAAGGCCCGACUGUUUACCAAAAACAUAGCCUUCAGCCAAACUAGUAUUGAAGGUGAUGCCUGCCCAGUGACACCACGUUUAACGGCCGCGGUAUCCUAACCGUGCGAAGGUAGCGCAAUCAAUUGUCCCAUAAAUCGAGACCUGUAUGAACGGCUAAACGAGGUCUUAACUGUCUCCUGCAGGUAAUCAGUGAAACUGAUCUCCCUGUACAAAAGCAGGGAUAAUCACAUAAGACGAGAAGACCCUGUGGAACUUCAAUAUCAAUGGUCACAACACAUCAAACAAAAACCUAUCAGGCCCACCAACUUACAACACUGACCAGCAUAUUUCGGUUGGGGCGACCUUGGAGAAAAACAAACCCUCCAAAGAUAAGACCAAAUCCCUUAACUAAGAGCAACACCUCAAUGUGCAAAUAGCAACCAGACCCAAUAUAAUUGACCAAUGAACCUAGCUACCCCAGGGAUAACAGCGCAAUCUCCCCCAAGAGCCCUUAUCGACGGGGAAGUUUACGACCUCGAUGUUGGAUCAGGACAUCCUAGUGGUGCAGCUGCUACCA